CUCAGCAUUAAUUCUCCUUUCCCUUCUUGUCCUGCAGAUUGCAGAGGCCAUCAGUAAGCCCCUGUCGGAGGCUCGGAAGAUCACGAUGGUUUCCAGCGGCAACGGAGAGGUGGGAGCGGCCAAACUGACCGGAGAGGUUUUGGAUAUCAUGACCAGGCUGCCGCUAGCCGUGGAGAAACUCACCGGAGUCCGCAUCUCUCAGGUUGGAUCAGCUGUGUAUUAAGAAGAGAAGGAAUGGGAGUAAUCAUCAGAUAUCCAGACUAGGAGCUCCACGUCUCCUCCUCGUGCCUAUAACCACUGUACCGGCUCUGCAGUCUCGUCCCGUCGUCUGUGUGUGUGCAUGUUUCACUUCUGUGUCCUGUUUCCAGUUCCUCUUCCAUCUAAACAGGACUUUUUUUAUGUGGUUUCUUUCCAUGUCCCUGGUCUGAGCUGCUUUCUGCUGUGGGUGACGGCAAAGCAGUUUCAAGGGGAUGCGAUUUUUAAAUAAAAGGUUUUAUUUUUUACCGGGAGAGAAAAGCCUCCCAGUUGGAAUAUACUUGGCCAUGCAAGUUUUUAUUUUGAAUCCAAACGGCAACUAGCUGAAUUAUAUAUAGGUCAAUCGUUUUUUAAUAUAGAAGAUAUUUAUGGCUGUAGCUUGUUUGUGCCUUUUAAAUUAAGUAAAUGGUGCCGAGCUCUUUAUCACCUCAUAGUUGUGUGUUUGGGUAUAUUGUUGCUGUAGUUCGAAAUAAUUGACCCAUCACUCAUCCCGCUUUGUCCGCUAACGAGACAAAGUUGUCGAUAGUUUACUACACGUCUUAAUCGUGCUCAAUCAUAUCAGUGGAAUAAUGUUGUGUUUCAGAAUGAAGAGGAAGGAAGUGGUUGAUGGUAACGAGCUAAAGGGGUUUCCAGGUGAAGGCUAUGAAAGUAUGUUGUGGUGGGAAAACAGAGUGUGCUCAUCUCUAACAGCCUGCUGCUUUAUGUGCAUACUGCCUAGAGUUUGAACUGAGAUAGUGUGUUUUUAUUUUGUGUAGUGAUUUUCCAUUGCAAAAUGAUGCUGUGUAGGAUAGAUCUUAACAAACUUUGGCUCUUGCAUGUUGAAAGGUGUUAGUUAGCGCCUCCGAUCUGGAGCUUCGUCUCUUAACAGUCCAUUUUUUUCCAGCUGCCAUGCCAUAUGCAUUUUGUUACCGCCAAGUGCCUGUUCCUAACUCAACAGUCUAAACUUAACUUUAUUAAGUUAAAUUCCACUUCUCUGUCAGGGAAUCUUUUCUCAUAUCUGAUCCGAAGCCAUUGGCCGCCACUAGCGAGGGCUGCAGAUUAAAGCCAAAUCAGACUCUACUUCUAUUGUAUGUUCUUGUGACUAAUCUUCUACUUUCCUAACUUGUUGAUGCAUGUCUCUACUUUAUGUUGACACAAGUAGUUACUAUAUGAACUUGUAUACAAGUUAAAUAUUUGAGAUUUAUCUGUAGUGAAAUGUUUAUGUAGACAAUAAAGUAUGGUUUAAUCACUGAA